CCUCCUUUCUAAAGGAAAAAAAACUUCGAUUGAAGUGUACUUUCGAAGUAAGCCCACCGUCUAUUCAUUUUGUCUUUUUUAAUUCUAACGAAUUAAUUAAGGGCAUUAAUUGGGCGUGUAGCUCAGUUGGUUAGAGCGCGCGCUUGAUAAGCGUGAGGUCGGAGGUUCAAGUCCUCCCUCGCCCACCAACUUGUUGGGGGAUUAGCUCAGCUGGGAGAGCGCCUGAUUUGCAUUCAGGAGGUCAGCGGUUCGAUCCCGCUAUCCUCCACCAACAUCUUUAAAAUCGUAAAUAUGAUAGCUGAUAACACAAACGCAAAUAACUCUGCACGAGUUAUUUGUUAAUAAGAAAUAAGAAACAACCAAAAACUAACUACNAAUAAUAAAGUUAAUUCACAAUAAUUUUUCACUGUGUAUUAAUAAUUCAAGCGCGUAAGAGCAUUUGGUGGAUGCCUUGGCAUAAAGAGGCGAUGAAGGACGUGAUAAACUGCGAUAAGCUCGGGCUUGCUGUCAAUAAGCUUACCGA
rnacentral:misc_RNA from 1 species